rnacentral:lncRNA from 15 species
UCAGUGGCACUAUAAAACAAGAAUUGUGUAUUUUAAUGAACUGCAUGUGUAUUUUAAAGUAGUAAAAUUCAGAAAAUGAAGGCUACCUUUCUCCAUACUCAUUCACAGUACACUUUAAUGGUGUUUAUGUUUAAAGGGCUGCAGAGGACCCAGAGGACCCGAGGGCCAACCGGGUGUGACGGGUCCAGAGGGAGAACCUGGAACACAAGGAACCAUGGGAAAGCCGGGUCAAAAGGUCACAGAAAGACUAUGCCUUCUCCUAGUGUUGUGUGUUGUGAAACUUUAGCGUUGACGGCACCCAAUAAUCAUCACUGUCCCUGUCUGGGACAUUCUUUAAGAAUUUUGAACUCUGUCAAUGUAAAUAAUCAGGAUAUCAAUGUGUGUUCAGAACAGCACAUAAAGCUGCCAAACCCUGAACAGCACUGAUAUCUGUCACACACUGCUCAAUGACAGUUACACACACAACACAUUACAAACAACAAAUGUAGAGCUAUAAGGAGGAGCUCUGCUCUCUUUGGAUUAUUACAGUUGAAAAAAAAAAAAAUGAUAUUUUCAUUAAUAUGUCUAACUGUAUAAUUCUAUCGUAAGACUUUACAUGCUGUGAUUUGAUGUCUCCACAGGGGGAGAAGGGGGACAGAGGCUGGAGGGGCCUGUAUGGAGACAUAGGAACUCCUGGGAUGAUAAAGGUACAGUGUAGCUUGGAUUUAUGUUACAAUAUGAGCUGGUUCAUAUCGAGCAGA